rnacentral:lncRNA from 1 species
CAAUAAGGGCGGGAAGUGGAUGCCGAGCAAAGAUAGGAUACCUGGACAAGGAGCGGCUUCUAGCAGACUUCUAGGAUGGCAGCACUCUAAGGUACGAGGGUGCAUGAAUAAAUCGAAUCACAUAUCGAAAUGGGGCAGGGAAUGGUUGAUACAUAGAUGUAAAGAGUUGAAACUAAUCAUAUGAGGCGUCUUUUAGUUGUUUGGC